CAGGCUGGGAUCAGAAAUACAGACAACGUAAGAGUGGCUGACAUCACAGAUCGGGAACUCCAUCGUCAAGCAAGGACAAUCCUUGUUGAAAUGGGACACUUUUUCCAAGUACAAGAUGAUUACCUGGACUGCUUUGGUGAUCCAUCAGUCACAGGCAAAGUUGGAACAGACAUAGCAGAGGGCAAGUGCACCUGGCUAUCUGUUGUAGCACUACAGAGAGCAACACCAGCACAGAGGGCUCUCAUGGAGCAACAUUACGGCAA